rnacentral:misc_RNA from 1 species
GCCCUCUGGUAUUCCGGAGGGCAUGCCUGUUUGAGUGUCAUGAAACAUCAAUCAUUCAUCUUGAUUGGAAAUGGACGUUGCCCUCGGCUCGUCUCAAAGCGCUUAGUGCGGUCGACGUGAUAAGUUUUCGUCUCAGCCGUGCUUGACACCCAUCUUUCAUCUCUGACCUCAAAUCAGGUAGGACUACCCGCUGAACUUAA